UAGUUGGUGGAGUGAUUUGUCUGGUUAAUUCCGUUAACGAACGAGACCUCAGCCUGCUAACUAGUCGCGUUUAUUCUUUGUUCACUGUUGGCGCGUGGCGUCUGCGCCAGGCUUAGCUCGCGUGGGUACUUCUGUAUUCGCGCGGCUUCGCCGGGUGUGUUCGUGUUCGUGUCAGCGGAACAGUUCGGAAUAGGAGAAAGCGUCGAUUGCCUCUGGUAGUCGCGCUUCAUGCAACUUCUUAGAGGGACUCUCCGUGUGUAGCGGAUGGAAGUUUGAGGCAAUAACAGG
rnacentral:rRNA from 1 species